ACAGGGAUUGCCCUAGUAACGGCGAGUGAAGCGGCAACAGCUCAAAUUUGAAAUCUGGCUCUUUCAGAGUCCGAGUUGUAAUUUGCAGAGGGCGCUUUGGCUUUGGCAGCGGUCCAAGUUCCUUGGAACAGGACGUCACAGAGGGUGAGAAUCCCGUACGUGGUCGCUAGCUAUUGCCGUGUAAAGCCCCUUCGACGAGUCGAGUUGUUUGGGAAUGCAGCUCUAAAUGGGAGGUAAAUUUCUUCUAAAGCUAAAUAUUGGCCAGAGACCGAUAGCGCACAAGUAGAGUGAUCGAAAGAUGAAAAGCACUUUGGAAAGAGAGUCAAACAGCACGUGAAAUUGUUGAAAGGGAAGCGCUUGCAGCCAGACUUGCUUGCAGUUGCUCAUCCGGGCUUUUGCCCGGUGCACUCUUCUGUAGGCAGGCCAGCAUCAGUUUGGGCGGUGGGAUAAAGGUCUCUGUCACGUACCUCUCUUCGGGGAGGCCUUAUAGGGGAGACGACAUACCACCAGCCUAGACUGAGGUCCGCGCAUCUGCUAGGAUGCUGGCGUAAUGGCUGUAAGCGGCCCGUCUUGAAACACGGACCAAGGAGUCUAACAUCUAUGCGAGUGUUUGGGUGUCAAGCCCGAGCGCGUAAUGAAAGUGAACGGAGGUGGGAACCCGCAAGGGUGCACCAUCGACCGAUCCUGAAGUUUACGGAAGGAUUUGAGUAAGAGCAUGGCUGUUGGGACCCGAAAGAUGGUGAACUAUGCUUGAAUAGGGUGAAGCCAGAGGAAACUCUGGUGGAGGCUCGCAGCGGUUCUGACGUGCAAAUCGAUCGUCAAAUUUGGGCA
rnacentral:rRNA from 1 species